rnacentral:rRNA from 1 species
ACGCAUUAAGUUCCCCGCCUGGGGAGUACGGGCGGCCUAUCAGCUUGUUGGUGGGGUGAUGGCCUACCAAGGCGACGACGGGUAGCCGGCCUGAGAGGGCGACCGGCCACACUGGGACUGAGACACGGCCCAGACUCCUACGGGAGGCAGCAGUGGGGAAUAUUGCACAAUGGGCGGAAGCCUGAUGCAGCGACGCCGCGUGAGGGAUGACGGCCUUCGGGUUGUAAACCUCUUUCAGCAGGGACGAAGCGCAAGUGACGGUACCUGCAGAAGAAGCGCCGGCCAACUACGUGCCAGCAGCCGCGGUAAGACGUAGGGCGCGAGCGUUGUCCGGAUUUAUUGGGCGUAAAGAGCUCGUAGGCGGCUUGUCGCGUCGUCCGUGAAAACCUGCAGCUCAACUGCAGGCUUGCGGGCGAUACGGGCAGGCUAGAGUUCGGUAGGGGAGACUGGAAUUCCUGGUGUAGCGGUGAAAUGCGCGGAUAUCAGGAGGAACACCGGUGGCGAAGGCGGGUCUCUGGGCCGAUACUGACGCUGAGGAGCGAAAGCGUGGGGAGCGAACAGGAUUAGAUACCCUGGUAGUCCACGCUGUAAACGUUGGGCGCUAGGUGUGGGGGGCCUCUCCGGUUCUCUGUGCCGCAGC